rnacentral:lncRNA from 1 species
AAAGUAACCUUAAUCCCAGAAUCUGAGAAACUCUGAAGGAGCAAAGUAAGGCUUUGUGUUAGCCCAUGCAGUGUUUGGUAGUACUAUCUUUCUUGCAUUUUGCUGUUCUGGCAUGAAGUGUCUGGAGCUAGCCCCUGCACGUAUGCACCUUGCAGGCAGAGGUGGGCCACAGAAGCCCUCCCAAUGGUCAGCAUGGCUUGGCUUUCAACUUGAUUUCCUUCUUUUGCAAAGGGUGGAGACGGAUGGAAACUGAAGAUACCCUUAGACCUGAUGCAAACACAAACAUGAAUGGGGGGUGUAUUGAUACCUGUGUAUCUGUAAACGUUGUGCACACUGUGCUCCUUUCAGGUAAUUCCCAAGAAUGGUGUGAAGAAAAUCAAGUAGCAGUUCAACCAUGCUUAAAGAAGAAUUUCAAGCUCUACAGAUAGCCUACCAAAGAGAGAAAACAGGAGACAGACAUGCUGUAUGAACAAACCAAGUAAUAAAGCUAUCGUACAUGAUGAGUCA